rnacentral:rRNA from 1 species
AGUGAACGCUGGCGGUAGGCCUAACACAUGCAAGUCGAACGGCAGCACAGUAAGAGCUUGCUCUUACGGGUGGCGAGUGGCGGACGGGUGAGGAAUACAUCGGAAUCUACUUUUUCGUGGGGGAUAACGUAGGGAGACUUACGCUAAUACCGCAUACGACCUACGGGUGAAAGCAGGGGAUCUUCGGACCUUGCGCGAUUGAAUGAGCCGAUGUCGGAUUAGCUAGUUGGCGGGGUAAAGGCCCACCAAGGCGACGAUCCGUAGCUGGUCUGAGAGGAUGAUCAGCCACACUGGAACUGAGACACGGUCCAGACUCCUACGGGAGGCAGCAGUGGGGAAUAUUGGACAAUGGGCGCAAGCCUGAUCCAGUCAUACCGCGUGUGUGAAGAAGGCCUUCGGGUUGUAAAGCCCUUUUGUUGGGAAAGAAAAGCAGCAGGUUAAUACCCCGCUGUUCUGACGGUACCCAAAGAAUAAGCACCGGCUAACUUCGUG